ensembl:lncRNA
AAUGAAUGGAAGCUGGACAGAAUGUCACAGAAAUACUGACUUGAAUGCUGUCUCCCCAAAAUACACCUGGUGUCAUGACAUACAUAGCAGAGGAUGGACUACUUGGGGCUCUUGGGAAAGCAAUAACUUUAGCCCUAAAAGACUCGUGGCCUUGAGACAUUGAUAUAUGCUGCCUUAAAAUCAUACCGGAACUACUUCAGAAAGCGGCUGGGUUUGAGAACACAAUGCACCAAGUAAGGGACUGCUCAAACCUUCCAAGAAGCCCACGUGAGAUCUAUAGGAGAAACAGUGUGUACUUGCUUGAGGGGUGGUGCUUGCUAGUUAAUGGCCUCUGCUCUCCUCUUCUGGUGCUCUCCUCCCAGGGUUCUUGUUGUCUUUGUUCUAGGAAUAGAUUUGUUGGAAACCUUCUUUAGAGACUUCUCCUUUGUACAGACUUGAUUUUACCUGUGGGCAAGGUACUGUUUUCUUACACAGGGACAUCACAGCAUUGCUGCAUGAAGAAGGAACUUUCAGACGCAGGGAAUGAUGGACUGCUGAAGGGUACCUGCUCACAGAACAACAUGUCAGGAAUCUGAAGUAUGAAAUGCUCAUCUUUGAAAGCAGGCACUCGCGGGGGUUUUUUUCAUCUUGCACAGCCUGUUCAGAGCCCUCAGCCUUGGUUCUUGCUGCAGCAGCGGAUGGGUCAUUGCAGUUGUUUUUCUCUCAUCUGCACUCAGAUGGUUUUCCUUGAAAGAUUCUUCUUCCUGCUGUCACCCGCACUGCUGACAGAUACUUCUCAUUUUUGGAUGCCUCAUGGAUGAAAAUUAUUUUCCAUAUGAUAACAAUUGGAAAGGUCUAAAUUGCAGAACACCAGAGACGUGUUUGAUCAUGACACACAGCUGACUGCAGCUUUUUCAGUGCACAGUUGAGCUGGAAAGCAGCUGAUUUUAAACCUGCUUUAUUCCAGGUUGAAGACAGCAUGGUUUCACUUAACAAAUAGAGCUAGCAUUGUCUGUCAAUUAAGUCAUGAAUAAGUAGAAUCCCCACUCUUUUCUCUGGAAAGAAAUGUUGUAUCUUACUCUUUAUGUUGCCAACUUAUAUCUAAAACUGAAAAUGUUUUCACUGAAAACCAUUGUGUGAGGAACUGAUACUGCCUAUUUUGUUUCUGUGGUAAACGCUAUCGCUGCAUUAGAAGCUCUUAUUAAUUCCUCUGACUGCCUAUAUGAAGUUAUAAAUGAUACUCCAAUGCCUUCUGGAGCAGAAGGAUCAUGUGGAAGUAAGUAAGGAGCGAGGAGAAAAUUGGAACACUGCUCUAGUUUUGAGACUUGAAAGGAAAAAAAGGCUUAGGAA